GCCAAUAGGGCUGCUAUUGCAGGCUACUUUGAUAUAGUAGUAUUAGAAUUUUUAUUCCGUUGGUA
rnacentral:tRNA from 1 species